rnacentral:rRNA from 1 species
AUAUCAAUAAGCGGAGGAAAAGAAACUAACGAGGAUUCCCCUAGUAACUGCGAGUGAAGCGGGAAAAGCUCAAAUUUAAAAUCUGGCGGUCUUUGGCCGUCCGAGUUGUAGUCUGGAGAAGCGUCUUCUACGCCGGACCGUGUACAAGUCCCUUGGAACAGGGCGUCAUAGAGGGUGAGAAUCCCGUCCAUGACACGGACCGCCGGUGGUUUGUGAUGCGCUCUCAAAGAGUCGAGUUGUUUGGGAAUGCAGCUCAAAAUGGGUGGUAAAUUCCAUCUAAAGCUAAAUACUGGCGAGAGACCGAUAGCGAACAAGUACCGUGAGGGAAAGAUGAAAAGCACUUUGGAAAGAGAGUUAAACAGUACGUGAAAUUGCUGAAAGGGAAACGCUUGAAGUCAGUCGCGUCGGCCGGGGCUCAGCCUUGCAUUCGUUUGCUCGGUUUACUUCCCGGUCGACGGGCCAGCGUCGAUUUUGACCGUCGGAAAAGGGUCAGAGGAAAGUGGCACCUUCGGGUGUGUUAUAUAGCCUUUGGUCGCAUACGGCGGUCGGGAUCGAGGAACGCAGCACGCCUUCAUUGGCCGGGGCAUUCGUGCCCACGCAUCGUGCUUAGGAUGCUGGCGGUAAUGGCUUUAAACGACCCGUCUUGAAACACGGACCAAGGAGUCUAACGUGCCUG